GUGUGGAACCAGAGGGUAAGGGGACAACAAGCCUGGCCUUUCUGACGCUGCAUAGACAGCAUUGGCUUGACGUCUUCAGAACCUGCUUACAGAAGCAGCCAUCUGCAGGACACUGAGCCUUCUCUCUCCGAAGCACACUGCAAAGGGACAAAGCAAGAAGCCGUGGAGGAUGAGGACGGACCAAGACAGCGCCCUCUUGUGGAACCUGGCUCCCGGACUAAUCGACCAGGCUGCAAGCUCGCUUUUGUAGCUUUUUAAAGCAAUAGCCCUCCCUAAGUCCUGGAAGAACCAAGAAAUCACCAGGGCUGGCAGUGCAGGCCUUUGAAGUAAGACCUAGUUUAUCAGCUGACUGACUCCACGGCUCCUACCUGCAGGGACUGAAAGAUGCACCUCAGCCUUGGGCAAACUCGCCAAGAGAAUCUGAAAUCCUUUUUCUCCAAGUCACUUGUCAGAGCACCACCUUUGUUUCCAAAGCUCGUGGCUUUGCUUUCUCCUGGUGCAGCAUGUGG